rnacentral:rRNA from 1 species
AGAACGAACGCUGGCGGCAUGCCUAAUACAUGCAAGUCGAACGAACUCUUCGGAGUUAGUGGCGCACGGGUGCGUAACGCGUGGGAAUCUGCCCCUUGGUUCGGAAUAACAGUUGGAAACGACUGCUAAUACCGGAUGAUGACGAAAGUCCAAAGAUUUAUCGCCAAGGGAUGGGCCCGCGUAGGAUUAGCUAGUUGGUGAGGUAAAGGCUCACCAAGGCAACGAUCCUUAGCUGGUCUGAGAGGAUGAUCAGCCACACUGGGACUGAGACACGGCCCAGACUCCUACGGGAGCAGCAGUAGGGAAUAUUGGACAAUGGGACGAAAG